GUUGCUGGGUGUCCCAGGGCCUGAGGCAGGACGGUACUCCGCUGACACCUUCCCUUUCGGCCUUGAGGUUCCCAGCCUGGUGGCCCCAGGACGUUCCGGUCGCAUGGCAGAGUGCUACGGACGACGCCUAUGAAGCCCUUAGUCCUUCUAGUUGCGCUUUUGCUAUGGCCUUCGUCUGUGCCGGCUUAUCCGAGGUCUCAAUCCAUUGCGCCCAGGCUGGUAUGCAGUCAUGUUGUAUCUGGAAUUGGUGGGUUCUUGGUCUCACUGACUUCAAGAAUGAAGCCGCAGACCCUCGUGCACCAUGAGUGCCGAGGAGGAUGCCAGGUGGCUCCGGUGGGUGACUCAGCAGUUUAAGACCAUUGCAGGAGAAGAUGGGGAGAUCAGCCUGCAAGAAUUCAAAGCAGCUCUGCAUGUGAAAGAGUCCUUCUUUGCAGAGCGAUUCUUUGCCCUAUUUGACUCCGAUAGAAGUGGCACCAUCACCCUCCAGGAGCUGCAGGAGGCACUGACCCUGCUCAUCCAUGGCAGCCCCAUGGACAAACUCAAAUUCCUCUUCCAGGUGUAUGACAUCGAUGUGUGUGCACGGCAGGGGGCGUCUGCAGGUACAGAGUGGGGUGCUGGGGCAGGCCCGCACUGGGCUUCAUCCCCACUCGGGACAGGCAGUGGCUCCAUUGACCCGGAUGAGCUGCGCACUGUGCUGCAGUCGUGUCUGCGCGAGAGCGCCAUCUCGCUGCCUGACGAGAAGCUGGACCAGCUGACGCUGGCGCUCUUCGAAUCGGCCGACGCGGACGGCAACGGGGCCAUCACCUUCGAGGAGCUCCGGGACGAGCUGCAGCGCUUCCCCGGAGUCAUGGAGAACCUGACCAUCAGCGCUGCCCACUGGCUGACGGCCCCCGCCCCCCGCCCACGCCCGCGCCGGCCGCGCCAGCUGACCCGCGCCUACUGGCACAACCACCGCAGCCAGCUGUUCUGCCUGGCCACCUAUGCAGGCCUCCACGUGCUGCUCUUCGGGCUGGCGGCCAGCGCGCACCGGGACCUCGGCGCCAGCGUCAUGGUGGCCAAGGGCUGCGGCCAGUGCCUCAACUUCGACUGCAGCUUCAUCGCGGUGCUGAUGCUCAGACGCUGCCUCACCUGGCUGCGGGCCACGUGGCUGGCUCAAGUCCUACCACUGGACCAGAACAUCCAGUUCCACCAGCUUAUGGGCUACGUGGUAGUGGGGCUGUCCCUCGUGCACACCGUGGCUCACACUGUGAACUUUGUACUCCAGGCUCAGGCGGAGGCCAGCCCUUUCCAGUUCUGGGAGCUGCUGCUCACCACGAGGCCUGGCAUUGGCUGGGUACACGGUUCGGCCUCCCCGACAGGUGUCGCUCUGCUGCUGCUGCUCCUCCUCAUGUUCAUCUGCUCCAGUUCCUGCAUCCGCAGGAGUGGCCACUUUGAGGUGUUCUAUUGGACUCACCUGUCCUACCUCCUCGUGUGGCUUCUGCUCAUCUUUCAUGGGCCCAACUUCUGGAAGUGGCUGCUGGUGCCUGGAAUCUUGUUUUUCCUGGAGAAGGCCAUCGGACUGGCAGUGUCCCGCAUGGCAGCCGUGUGCAUCAUGGAAGUCAACCUCCUCCCCUCCAAGGUCACUCAUCUCCUCAUCAAGCGGCCCCCUUUUUUUCACUAUAGACCUGGUGACUACUUGUAUCUGAACAUCCCCACCAUUGCUCGCUAUGAGUGGCACCCCUUCACCAUCAGCAGUGCUCCUGAGCAGAAAGACACUAUCUGGCUGCACAUUCGGUCCCAAGGCCAGUGGACAAACAGGCUGUAUGAGUCCUUCAAGGCAUCAGACCCACUGGGCCGUGGUUCUAAGAGGCUGUCGAGGAGUGUGACAAUGAGAAAGAGUCAAAGGUCGUCCAAGGGCUCUGAGAUACUUUUGGAGAAACACAAAUUCUGUAACAUCAAGUGCUACAUCGAUGGGCCUUAUGGGACCCCCACCCGCAGGAUCUUUGCCUCUGAGCAUGCCGUGCUCAUCGGGGCAGGCAUCGGCAUCACCCCCUUUGCUUCCAUUCUGCAGAGUAUCAUGUACAGGCACCAGAAAAGAAAGCAUACUUGCCCCAGCUGCCAGCACUCCUGGAUCGAAGGUGUCCAAGACAACAUGAAGCUCCAUAAGGUGGACUUUAUCUGGAUCAACAGAGACCAGCGGUCUUUCGAGUGGUUUGUGAGCCUGCUGACUAAACUGGAGAUGGACCAGGCCGAGGAGGCUCAAUACGGCCGCUUCCUGGAGCUGCAUAUGUACAUGACAUCUGCACUGGGCAAGAAUGACAUGAAGGCCAUUGGCCUGCAGAUGGCCCUUGACCUCCUGGCCAACAAGGAGAAGAAAGACUCCAUCACGGGGCUGCAGACGCGCACCCAGCCUGGGCGGCCUGACUGGAGCAAGGUGUUCCAGAAAGUGGCUGCUGAGAAGAAGGGCAAGGUGCAGGUCUUCUUCUGUGGCUCCCCAGCUCUGGCCAAGGUGCUGAAGGGCCAUUGUGAGAAGUUCGGCUUCAGAUUUUUCCAAGAGAAUUUCUAGCCUCACCUCUCCAAGCUCUGCCCCAAGUCCACACCAUGGGUCUGCUUCAUUGCAUUAGUAUAAAUGCCCCCACAGGGACCAGCCUCAGAUGACCCACCCAAUAAGACAAAGCCUAGGGACCCCCUAAUCCUGCUCAACAGAGAGAACAGGAGACCCCAAGGGGCAGAUGAACUUCCUCUAGAACCCAGGGGAAGGGACAGUGCCUUGUUCAGUCUGCUGUAGAUUCUGGGGUUUCUGUGAAAGUGAGGGAACCAGAGGCUGGUCACGGGAGCUUGGGGGUGGGGUUCGAGGGGGCAGAGGGCAACCACUCCUCCAAACAUUUUCCGACGGAGCCUUCCCCCACAUCCAUGGUCCCAAACCUGCCCAAUCAUCACAGUCAUUUGGAAGCUUAUUUCUCCGGCAUCUUAUAAAAUUGUUCAAACCUACAAAAAGUGAGAAGAAUCAUACAGUGAACAGUGUUACCUACUUUCUAGACUCCUCAGUUAAUAAUUUGCUCUGUUUAUCACAUAUUAUCCAUCAGUUCCUCCUCCCUCUUUCCAUCUGUCAAUUUAUCUGAUUUUUUGGAUGCAUUUUCAAGUUAGGUGCAAAUAUCUCAGCACACCUUGCUACUUGGAGGAGCCUUCUUCAAAUGCACAUUCCUUGGUCCCACUACCAGAAAUUCUGAUUCUGAUGAUCUGGGAAUGAAACCUGAAAUAUGUAUUUUCCACCAAAUCCAUUUGCAUAGGGAGAAAUAAGCAGCAUCUUUCCCUGCCCCUCCUUGUGUCUUUGUCUCCCCAUCUCCCUCUCUCCUGGCGCGUCCCUCAGAGCCUCUCUGGGCUCUGUAUGCUGGCCUCUUCCUUCUCUCUGUGUGCUGAGUCGCUUGAGAAACAGGAUGGAGACAGCCUCUUUGUGUGCCUCUCUCUGUCGUGGAAAGGCCAAGUGCCUGGGGAUGAAGCGGGCUAAGCCUGGAAGCUCAGCUCAGCCACACUCUGGCUGUGUGGCCCUGGAAGCUUCCCCAUGUCUGUUAUUUUCAUCUGUGAAAUAAGCUGAUGCCAUCCGUCAGUCACAGUUGCUGUGAGGUGACAUGAGACGCCAAGUGCUCAAGACAUUCCACCUCAGUUCAGCUCCUUGCUGCUCCAGGCUUUCGUGCAUCUACAUCAUUUCUCUUUAUCCUGGCUCCCUCUGUCUCUGUUUUCCAGCCUCUGUUUGCGUCUGUCCCUGUCUGGGCAGGAGGGAACAGCAGAGGCAGCAAAGGCUCUCUCAGCACAUACUGUGGGGAGGAGCGGCCCUGGGCAGAGGACAGGGUGGGCCUCACCUCCUCCAUCUGAGCUGGACAUUUCCAUCUGUGCCACACCAUGAGCUCCUGUGAGCCCCACAUUUCCUGGGCAUCCUCCACCUUGCAGUCAGUCCUGAUAGGUUCUCUUCUUGACAGUGUAAAGCACCCUUCCCCAAGGCUGCCAUCAUGGGGUUGGAACCAGGCACUUUCCAAUGGGAUUGUAGCUGGCACCUUUCUUUUCCAUGGGUUGGAAGUCCAUGGUUGCAAAGGGGGAGGUAAAGAAGCCGGAUCAUAACCUGGAUGAUGAUGUCCCUUAUCUAAGGUGGGGCUGGGAUGCAGCAGUAGGGGUGGGUGUGACCUGCAGGGGAUGAGCCAGUUGGGUGGAUGGAAGAAUGAAGGUGGGGGAAAGCUCUCUUCUGAAAGGGGCAAUAGGAAGGGGAUGGUGGAGGAAGACGCUGAGGCAGGCCCUGGGAAGGGGAAGGCAAAACAUACCCUGAGGACUGGGACAGAGCAGGAUGGGAGUGAGGAUGUCAUCUUUAAGAUGUGAGGAGGAACGGGAAGAAGAAUACGAGAGGAGGAGUGGGGCCUGCAGUCAAGGAGAGGCUAAUUCGGUUUGGGUGGGUGGAAAGCGGGGCUCGUGCUUGCACCAAGCCUCCAUCUCCCUGGACUGGGAGUCAGCAAGGCCAGGAGACCUGGUGUUGGGGCCUUCCAACCAGAUCGUGUUUAAUUUCCAGCAAGCCUGGGGAGGCACACAACUCACCAGGGAAACUCACACCUGGAGUUUUACCAGCCUGAGGCCACACACUCUUGGAACCUCUUUCCCUCUGUUGAGUCUGUACUUUCCCCUCUUCAUCAGGCUUGGGAAGGCUUGGACAAAACGCUCUCUGGGGCACAGAAGGAAACUAAAGAGGGUGUUCUGACUUAAGGUUGGAGGAUGUAAACAGGCUGUGCCAAAUCAUUUGGAAACGUGGCAGAAUCUGUUUAGCACAGGAUGUCUCACACAUGCACUCAAUGCACACACACACAUGCAUGUCACCGUUUUGGAUUCUUUCCCAUCUCUGUCUACACCGCCUUAACACAUUUGAGCCCUGCCCUCAGUCCUUUGCCCUCUCGUAACAGAUUUCCACCAGGCUCCCACCCGCAUAUACAAAUAGUCAGCUGUUCGUUUAGGACUUAAUAAUAUAGUGGGUGGGAGCAGGUGGAAGGACUUGGACAUACGAUUCUAAAAUCCGUGAAUGCCCACAUGUGUGACGACCAUAUGCCCGUGUCCUGAGGUUUUCUCUCCAGACAGAUUCCAGUUGCCCACGAGAGGGCGCUGCAGAAUCACGGAUCUCAAGCGGGUUUGUUUCCCAGGAAGUGAGACUGGUCCGUGAGUGGCAGUUAAUCAAAGGGAAAGGGGCUGGGAAGACAACGCCCUGUUCCAAAGCUCCCCACUAGAGGCAAAACCUCCAGGCUCCAUCUCUGUGAAGUCAAGAGACUUCAUGUUCAAGGUCAGUUUCUCUAGCUGGCAGCUUCUCACUGCCGCUGCCUUCCCCCAGAAACUCUACCCUCCCCAUACCCAGUGUCCAGUUCUGGGCUUUCCUCUUUUCUGCUUGCAACAAAAUGUCCAUCGGUGAGGUCAAGUUGAACUGAACAGGCCUGGCUUGGGGAGAGUUCACAGGUCCAGGUUCUGUCUGCCUCGGUGGACAUGUCAUCGAAGGCAGCAGGACCACACAUGUGAGUGUACAGCACGCAUGGUCUGACCAUCUGGAUGUUUCCCAGAUGUGCAGAUGGGCAUCAUCGGCCAUCAACAGGAAAAUGCAUCCGGAUGACUGGCUGACUUUUCUUCUCUCACCAGAUGUUGCCAAUGCUGUAGAAACAUCUGGGCCCACGACAGAUAAGGCUGACACAUGCAAAGAGAAGAGAGAAGGAGCAAGGCCAGUUAUCGGCACGUGUGCCCAUCCUCCCCCAUGAAGCUGCAAACUCCCCAAGGCCAGACAUGGGGACCCAAAGCCUAGCACAGAGUGUAGACCAGAUGUCGGUUCCUCCCAGGGCAAGGGGUUACUUAAAUGGAAUUAUCCUUACAAAGAGUCUUUUGCACCUAAUUGUCACUUGUAAUUUGGGGAACAAAAGCACAAACACAAGCCCACUGAACCACUUUGCCAGGUGCCAUUGCACUGUUCUGUGAGGACAGCGCUGACGGAGACAGCAGGCAUUCCUGAAAUGACCAAUCAGGCAGGGCCCUCCUGGACGAGCGGCACAAGUGCAGGCUAUUAAUACACUGAGCUGGGGCAUUCGUGGGAGGGGAGGGGGCAUGGGCAACAUGGAGAGUCACCAGGCUGGCAGACAAGGUUGAAGGUAGGGAGGGAUGAGGAACAUUAGCCGAGACUGGCUCUGGGCCAACCUGUUGGAGACACAGUGGACAAACCUUUGCCCUCUGGGAGGCAGGGCACUGAGUCCUACACUUGCCUCUGCCACAGUCUGCUGUGUGACCUUGGGUGUAUCAUUUGACCUCUCUGAGUUCUCACUUUCUUAUUAUAAAGUGAACAGAUCAAGUAUGUAUGCGUUUAAGCACUUGUCAUUUCUAAAAGGAUACAUGAAAGUAUAUUUAUCUGUGUGCUCUGGGGAGUGGGAAUGGAGGGAUACAAUGAAGGAAAGGAUUUUGUGUUUUUGUUUUUGUUUUACUUUUUGCCCUUCUGUAAAGUUUAAGUUUUUAUUAAUAUUAUAGUUUUAUUUUAAAAAGAAACCCCAAAUAGGAUGUCAUGUAAAAGAAAAGAAAAAACAAGUACCAAGUGUUUGAUAUAAUCCUAUUUAUAACACAGAAAAUAAAUGACAUAUGUAUAUCAUGUGGGGAUAAAUAGAUAAAAAUACACGGAAAGACAGUUAGAAGCCAGCCUUAAUCUGUCUUGGGCCCAGACAGCCCUUAUCUGUUGGGGGCCCAGAUGUGUCUACAGCAUUGUUAACAUCUGGUGAAAGGAGAAAAGUCAGCCAGCCAUCCUGAUGCGUUUUCUUGCUGAUGGCCGAUGAUGCCCAAAUGCUAAGCAGUUCGCAGUGGUUAACUGUGGAGGAGGCAAAGGAGGACUUGAAUGUUUUCCUCUUAUCUGUUUCCUGUAUUUGUGUGUUACCUGAGUAAGGUUUCACUUCCUGUAUUACUCAUGUGAUAUUUUACUUUUUAAUUUAUGUACUUUUGUAUGGCUUGUAUCUAUUUUUUAAGAGUAAAACAAAAUGCAGAGAUUAUCUGCAGUGUUGUCUAAGAUCCUGAAUAUUGAUUUGGUAUCAAGUGAAAGUAUUUCGGGCCUAAGCCAGGGGACUGGCCCUCCCCGUCAGGGGUCACUCCGUGGGCUCUUCAAUAAGGGAGGCUCCUAUAGUGCCCAUUAUCAAUAUGCUGCUGGCCCUGAAUGGCCUAAGUAUUAAAAUAAAAUGCCCUGUCUAGGCCCAAAACUAGUCCAGAAGGACUGUGGAGGCCGUGGGCAUACACGUGAAAUUGUGUGCACAGGGGCUAAGCCCAGCACCAGCCCAGCCUGGGAGUUGAGAUGCCUCAGGGCACACUGUCUGUGCUAAACAAAUACUCAUAUUAACCAGCCUUCCUGACAGAUUGAUGCAUCUUUUUAUGAUCUGUCUUUACAAUAUGAUGACUCUCUCCUUUUAAAAAUAAGAUUAAUUCAGACAAGACAUUUAUUUUAUGAGGAAAUUCAUCCCAGGGGGAAAAAUACUCAACCUGAAUGGCAGAAAUGGCUGGAAAGAGACUUGACUCUCAAGGAAGCUUCCAGCCUCCAACCUUAGCCACCCAGCCAUGGCCCCAAAAGGGCUGCCCUAAUACUACUCAGGGACAAAUGGGCCCUCUUAAACUACCCUAGCUGUGUGAGUGUAGCCUGCUGGAGAAACAAAGAAAGACAGGUAGUGAGUUUUAGUGUGGCAGGGAAGAAAAGGAUGCAUUUUUUGGUAAAGGAAAAAAAAAUUCUGAGAUUUACCCAAAUUUGGCUGGACAUGAGUUUAUAAAUACAGAUUAAGCUUGUCUUUAAAUAACCCUAAAGAAUGUUCAAGAACAGUGAAUGAUUUGUCUCUGUGUCCCCAGUGACUAGAAUAGCGUCACCACCUAGUAGGUGCUUGGCGUGUUUCAUGAAUGUUUCCACUGCUAUGGUCUGUUUCAGCUGGUGACCCCAUGAGGUACCCUUGGCUCCUCUAUCUCCCCCAUCUUCCUCCUUCAGCCAAUCAUCAAGCCUGUCAACAUGGCAUUCUAAAUGCUUCUCAAGCACAUUUCCUUCCCCACUGGCCCUGCCUUGGUUCAGUCCUUAAAUUGCCUAUUGCCUGAAUUGGUGCAUCAGAGACAGGCUGGAGAAAGGAAGACCAGUUAGCCAGAAAGGAAGCUUGGAAGACCACCCAGCUAACUGGUCUUCCUUUCUCCAGCCUGGCUCUGAUCCAUCCUCCACACACUGCUGUGGGUCUGACUGCACACCUUCUUUUUGGAGGACUCUCCUAUUAUAGCCAUCAAACUCCUGAGUCUGCUACACAAGGCCCCCCCAACAUAAGCCCUAGAUGAAGAUCUGCUACCAUUACAGCCAGUAUUACCUGGCCCUUGCCUACCUCUCAGGUCUUGGCAAUGUCCACCUUGCUUUUUUUACUUUAAAUAGCAUCAUUUCGUGCUCCCCCAGGACACUGUGCAGCUUCGCACCUCCAAGCCUUUGCUUCUGCAUCGCCUGACACUUGGAGCACCCUUCUCCACUUUCAGAUUGAGACUUCGGAACACUUUAUCAUCAGCCUAUCUGUAAAGACUUCCUUGCUGGUCCCUCCCAUCGCAGAAUAAACAGCCUGCUCCGUAGGAUUGUACUGUA